rnacentral:rRNA from 1 species
GACGUAGGAGGCGAGCGUUAUCCGGAUUCACUGGGCGUAAAGCGCAUGUAGGCGGAUGUCUAAGUCGUGUGUUAAAGCCCCUGGCUCAACUGGGGGAGGUCAUGCGAGACUGGAUGACUUGAGGGCAACAGAGGCACGUGGAACUCCCGGUGUAGCGGUGGAAUGCGUAGAGAUCGGGAAGAACACCCGUGGCGAAGGCGGCGUGCUGGGUUGCAACGUGA